UUUAUUUUCGAAAUCAUCCUGGAACAAGAUAAAGAAAAAAGAAAUGAAAAGGUUAGCGUUGUUUGUAAGUUUUGUGAGUAUAGUUCCACUGUGUUGUUCAUUAGAAAGACUAAGUUCUCCAAAGCACUAUCUUAAAAAUCACAACGUUAUACGUGAACAUGUUGGGUCUCCAGCGCUGAAGUGGGACCGACAACUAGAAAAACAUGCUCGCAAUUUCGUGAACGCACACAGUAUGGACUGCUUAGCAAGAAAACCUUCAAUUAGCAGCGGCAUAGGUUGGAACAUUGCACGUAAUUGGGGCAAUGACACUUUUGUAGGAGCACAUGCUGUGGUCAAAUGGGCCCUUCAGGAAGGAAACUACGACCAUGUAACUAACUCAUGUGUUGGUGGUGAAUGCCAUGCCUAUACUCAACUUGUUUGGAAGCGAUCUACUCAUUUAGGCUGCGCUGGAGUCACGUGCCACAAUUUUUCAGGCAUUCUCAUUAGAUGUAACUAUGAACCUCCCGGCGAGCAUGACACGCACAGAUGCAAAUGAUCUAGACAUCAAUUGCCUGAAUGCGACAUGACACAUCGCAGAAGCAACCGACUUCAAGAGGCCUCGGUUGCUUCUCCUUAGGCAAAUGAGUCAUACACUUGUCCUUCGGACGCCAUUGUCGCCUAUUUGAGGGAGGUUGACUUCGGUGACAUGGUGCCUCUCAGGGAUUUCAUAUUUGACAACUCCCUGAUCACUGCAUUCUGGCGUCUCGAGACGCCCACUUUUCAUCUGCAAUGGGGUGAGUGCACCAUCACUCUACAGAACGUCACAUACCACCUCAGAUUACGGGCGCAUGCAUGGAGAGCCAGUAGAUGGGUGUUUCCGUGAUUUCCACACAUGGUAUGGGAUGGAGACCUGGGCGUUGGUGGAGCGCUUACUUGGUGCCAGGCCUCUUGUGGUACAGCAGCAGCGAGCGCAGAGGAAGGAGAAUUUCUCCCUCAAGCUAACAUGGCUUGGGGACUAACUCUGGCAGAUGCCCGCUACGGAUGAUCUAGCCACCCUCCAACAGUACAUUAGGUGCUGCAUUAUGUUGUUAAUUGGGGGUUAUCUGAUGACUGACAAGUCAAACAAUCAGAUCCAUCUCCGGUGGCUACCACUCCUUGAUGACUUUUCGUAAAUAAUUCCGUAAAUACUCCUCUUCUUUCUUCUUUCUUUUUAUUUUCCUUUCAUAACCACCACUUUUACUACUCCACAACCCCUAAUUUUUCUUUUUAUCAAUCAAAAUGCCAAUCUUGAAAUAAUUCCUAAAUCGAGACUAACAAGACAAAACAAAACAAAAACAAAGCACAAUGAAACAAACGCUGACAUUUUUUAGCGUUGAAGAACAUAAAAGCCUUAUGAAGCUCAAGGGUAUAAUUAUCAGGAGGAGGAUGCUUAUGGUGAUGACGUGGCAUAGCUUUGACGAUGAGAGUAACGAAGCCAACAAGAAAGAUAGAAAACAAGUGACUUCUGACGGUCCAAAUGAAGAUCUUGCACGCUUGCGGCUAACAAUGAUGCAACCGAGAUUGACGUACUUCUUCUGCUCGCUAGGGCCGAGGUGCCAGCUCUGCUAAGUCUCGUCGAGUGGACGCAAAAGCGCCGCUCUAUCAAGGUCUGUAGGUUGCGGGUGCGGUCAUCGUCAGUGGUGGAGUCAGUGGCAUUGAUCUCCAGCGGACCUCCCCAGGAGUCCCUACCGUACAUACUCAUGUUGGUGGCAUAAUGCUACUCCCACCGACACUUUUUGUGUGAAGUAGUGAAAAUAUGAAUGAAUGAAUGAAUGAAUGAAUGAAGAGAGAGUGUUAUGAGUAAUGAGAGUUAGUGUGAGACAAUAAGAGUGAGAGUGAGAGAUAGAACAACUUAACUACUAACGCUCUUUUCUCUCUCUUCUCCUUUGUUUUGCCUUCCUUGUCUCGAUUUGGACAUUAUUUUGAGGAAGAAUCUUGGGUGUUUGGAGGUUGGAUUCAAGAUCGAUCACUUGAGGUUUUGAAUCGAAU